CAAAAACACUCCAGCUGUCUGGGGCCUCAUCAUGGGGAAUUCCCCUUCUCCUGCCUAAAAGUAAACUCAUCUGGGCUCUCCUUCCUGUAUUCGCUUAACAGCUCAGAGUCUGGACCGAAGGCUCUCUCUCGCCAGCUCCCCUUGGCUCUACCUGGUGUUUCCUGAAGCCUCCAGUUUCCAAAAAGUGAUGUGGUGCGUGGGCAGUGUGCUGCGGGAAACCAAGACUGGAAUGGCUGACCAUGCUGUAGGGCCUGAUUGAAGUGUACAGGCAGACUUCUGGGAGAGCCCACCAUGGGCUAGUAGGAGUUGCUACAAGUCAGCAGUGAGGUGCAUAGGCUGAAAGCUGUGGGGGAAUGGUUCAACUUCUCUGCUUGCAAUGUGGCUCCUAUGCUUGUUCCACAGCCAGAUAGGCAUAUUCCCUAGCACCUUACCGGCAAAAAAUGGCUAAUAAUUAAAUGGAAGAUCGG